rnacentral:rRNA from 1 species
GAUGAACGCUGGCGGCGUGCUUAACACAUGCAAGUCGAACGGACUUUAUAUGAAGCCUAGCGAUUAUAAAGUUAGUGGCGGACGGGUGAGUAACGCGUGAAUAACCUGCCCUGUACCGGGGGACAACAGUUGGAAACGGCUGCUAAUACCGCAUAAGCGCACGGUUCCGCAUGGAACAGUGUGAAAAACUCCGGUGGUACAGGAUGGAUUCGCGUCUGAUUAGCCAGUUGGUGGGGUAACGGCCUACCAAAGCAACGAUCAGUAGCCGGCCUGAGAGGGUGAACGGCCACAUUGGGACUGAGACACGGCCCAAACUCCUACGGGAGGCAGCAGUGGGGAAUAUUGCACAAUGGGGGAAACCCUGAUGCAGCGACGCCGCGUGAGUGAAGAAGUUAUUCGUAACGUAAAGCUCUAUCAGCAGGGAAGAAAAUGACGGUACCUGACUAAGAAGCCCCGGCUAACUACGUG